GCCCUGCCUCAACUUUGCAGGGCAGAGGAUAGAGUGGGCUGAGCUGCAGCUCUGUCCCCUCUCUUGGCCACCUCCUACUGCUCAGAGCAGGGGCUGUGGGUCAAGGAGAGGACAUGGCCAUCUGAGGGGCAGCCCAGGGCUGUAACCCACACCGGAGGCCGCCCGCCUGCUUUCCUGGUCUGAGCUGGUGGUAGGAGAGAAGGGGAAGACUUGGAGCAGCCUAAUCCAGCAUUAAAGUCCUGGCUAAUACUCUCCUUCCUGAGGACACCUGAGAUGCAGGGCUGGCGUGGGGGCUGGCUGGUGGCUGCUUCCCAGUUGGUUCUGACAGCUGCAGCAAGUGAUCUCCUGUGCUCAUCUCCGGCAAGGCCAUUAACUCCAGAGUGAAACCCUAAUGACCACCUCUCCACGUGGGCUGUUGGAGCAGCCUUUCUUCUUGUGCCACAUGGUCCCCCUUCAGAGGAAGCCCCAUCCCACACGUGCACAGCAGUAGUAUUCCCAUAGCCCACAGCAAUGUCUUUGCAACAGUGUUCCUGUGUUACUUUUAUGACCGCUGGAGAUGGACGGACCUAGAUCUCCACUGACACCCUUCUGUGUGUGCACAGUCUGUGCUCAGUCAGAUGAAUCCUUCCUGAACAUCCUUCUUCAGGAAAUUACUUGUGCUUUUAAGGUGAGAUCUCUGAUCUACCAGCAAGUGCAUCUCCCCUUGGCCACAAUCUGUGCUUCACACACAAAAAUUAUUUCAGCUGUUUCAGAUGUCUGUCAAAGCACUGCUAUGUAAACUGAGGUGAAAGAAGGGAUGCAGAGAAUGGAAGAAUGUGUACCUGGAUCUGAGGCAGAUGGGAAAUCCCACCUUUGGGGCUCAGCACAGAGCUCUGAAAACCAGGACUUUAAAUCAGAGCAUGGGCCACCCCCAGGCUGCUCAUUCUCCUAAGGAAAUCAUCAACCUGAAAUACAUCUAUCUGCUUCAAAACUGAGCAGCUAGGAGGUAGUGAGGCAAGCCAAGGAGCAUUUAUUAUCCAAAAUCCUGCAAUGGGCUAUGAAGAUUUCAGUCAUGUCCAAAACAUGCAAUUAGGUCUUCUUGGGGGGGGGGGGGGGGGAAGGGAGGAGUUGUUUGGGUUUUUUUGUAAUUCGUAUCUUCCCAAAUAUCUCUGAGCAUUUUCAUUACUUUGUAAAAUUUCACCAAAUAGUUCAGACAAAUUGUCUUCAGCAGAUGGCUUGUUAUGAAUAGCUUGUGAAUUUUUCACUCUGACAUCUGUACUGUGUUUGUUGGGUGGUUUAAUCAGUUCCUGGGCGGAAUGACUGAGAUGUUUGCAAGGGAGGAAAAAUGAACACAGGAUACUAAACAAGAAACAGUGCGUUUCAAGGACAAACAUGUUAAGCUGACUGGAGUCACAAACACUUCCAGAGAUUUCCAGCCCUCAGUGACUCUAUUGUGGAUGCUGGGGGCCAUCGUGUAUGCCUGCAAAUCAAACUCACGUUGCGCAUUCAGAAGGGGGAUUGUGAACCUAUUCUCAUUAUUUAAGAGUCACAUUAUGUAGCCAGAACUUGUGAGCAGAAUUUCCAUUCCGAGGAGUUAUAUUUUAACCACGUG
rnacentral:lncRNA from 1 species